GACGAACGCUGGCGGCGUGCUUAACACAUGCAAGUCGAACGGAAAGGCCUCUUUCGGGGGGUACUCGAGUGGCGAACGGGUGAGUAACACGUGAGUAACCUGCCCUUGACUUUGGGAUAACUUCAGGAAACUGGGGCUAAUACCGGAUAGGAGCUCCUGCUGCAUGGUGGGGGUUGGAAAGUUUCGGCGGUUGGGGAUGGACUCGCGGCUUAUCAGCUUGUUGGUGGGGUAGUGGCUUACCAAGGCUUUGACGGGUAGCCGGCCUGAGAGGGUGACCGGCCACAUUGGGACUGAGAUAUGGCCCAGACUCCUACGGGAGGCAGCAGUGGGGAAUAUUGCACAAUGGGUGGAAGCCUGAUGCAGCAACGCCGUGUGCGGGAUGACGGCCUUCGGGUUGUAAACCGCUUUCGCUCAUGACGAAGCUUUGUGUGACGGUAGUGGGUAAAGAAGCACCGGCUAACUACGUG
rnacentral:rRNA from 1 species